UAGGGAAUCUUCUGCAAUGGACGAAAGUCUGACCGAGCAACGCCGCGUGAGUGAAGAAGGUUUUCGGAUCGUAAAACUCUGUUGUUAGAGAAGAACAAGGACGUUAGUAACUGAACGUCCCCUGACGGUAUCUAACCAGAAAGCCACGGCUAACUACGUGCCAGCAGCCGCGGUAAUACGUAGGUGGCAAGCGUUGUCCGGAUUUAUUGGGCGUAAAGCGAGCGCAGGCGGUUUCUUAAGUCUGAUGUGAAAGCCCCCGGCUCAACCGGGGAGGGUCAUUGGAAACUGGGAGACUUGAGUGCAGAAGAGGAGAGUGGAAUUCCAUGUGUAGCGGUGAAAUGCGUAGAUAUAUGGAGGAACACCAGUGGCGAAGGCGGCUCUCUGGUCUGUAACUGACGCUGAGGCUCGAAAGCGUGGGGAGCAAACAGG
rnacentral:rRNA from 1 species